rnacentral:rRNA from 1 species
AGAGUAUGAUACUGGCUCAGAACAAACGCUGGCGGCGUGUCUGAAUGAUGCAAGUCGUACGUAAACGGAAUCCUUCGGGGUUCUUAGUAAGUGGCGAACGAGUGAGUAACACGUGUGUAACCUACCUCUGGGUGGGGGACAACACUUCGAAAGAGGUGCUAAUACCCCAUAGAGUUACUUGAUAUAAAUCGUUUAGUAAUGAAAGGUGGCCUCUGCUUGCAAGCUACCGCCCAAAGAUGGGCACGCGGUCUAUUAGCUAGUUGGUGAGGUAAAAGCUCACCAAGGCAACAAUGGAUAGCUGGCCUGAGAGGGUGGUCGGCCAUACUGGGAUUGAGAUACGGCCCAGACUCCUACGGGAGGCAGCAAAUCGGAAUAAUCAGCAAUGGGCGCAAGCCUGACCGUGCGACGCUGCGUGAGCGAUUAAGGCCUUCGGGUUGUAAAGCUCUGUGUUAUGGGAAGAAAAACUGAUAGAUGAAUAAUUUGUCGGCCUGACUGUACCAUAAUAGAAAGCCCCGGCUAACUUACGUGCCAGCAGCCGCGGUAAUACGUAGGGGGCAAGCGUUGUUCGGAAUCACUGGGCGUAAAGGGCGUACAGGCGGCCAUAUAAGUCGGUUGUGAAAUUCUCGGGCUUAACCUUAGAUCUGCACCCGAUACUGUAUGGCUUGAGAUCAGGAGAGGAGAGUGGAAUAUGUGGUGUAGCGGUGAAAUGCGUAGAUAUCACAUAGAACACCGGUGGCGAAGGCGGCUCUCUGGCCUGAUUCAGACGCUGACGCGCGAAAGCUAGGGUAGCGAACGGGAUUAGAUACCCCGGUAGUCCUAGCCGUAAACGAUGGGUACUAAGUGUAGGAGGUAUCGACCCCUUCUGUGCUGUAGCUAACGCAUUAAGUACCCCGCCUGGGGACUACGGCCGCAAGGCUAAAACUCAAAGUAAUUGACGGGGGCCCGCACAAGCGGUGGAGCAUGUCGCUCAAUUCGAAGCAACGCGAAGAACCUUAUCCAGUGGCUUGACAUCCUCUGACAACCGUGGAAACACGGCUUUCCCUUCGGGGACAGAGUGACAGGUGCUGCAUGGCAGUCGUCAGCUCGUGUCGUGAGAUGUUGGGUUAAGUCCCGCAACGAGCGCAACCCCUAUUUCUAGUUACCAGCGGGUAAUGCCGGGGACUCUAGAGAGACUGCCGGCGAUAAGCCGGAGGAAGGGGG